rnacentral:rRNA from 1 species
AGUGAACGCUGGCGGUAGGCCUAACACAUGCAAGUCGAACGGCAGCACAGUAAGAGCUUGCUCUUACGGGUGGCGAGUGGCGGACGGGUGAGGAAUACAUCGGAAUCUACUUUUUCGUGGGGGAUAACGUAGGGAAACUUACGCUAAUACCGCAUACGACCUACGUGUGAAAGCAGGGGAUCUUCGGACCUUGCGCGAUUGAAUGAGCCGAUGUCGGAUUAGCUAGUUGGCGGGGUAAAGGCCCACCAAGGCGACGAUCCGCAGCUGGUCUGAGAGGAUGAUCAGCCACACUGGAACUGAGACACGGUCCAGACUCCUACGGGAGGCAGCAGUGGGGAAUAUUGGACAAUGGGCGCAAGCCUGAUCCAGCCAUACCGCGUGGGUGAAGAAGGCCUUCGGGUUGUAAAGCCCUUUUGUUGGGAAAGAAAAGCAGCAGGUUAAUACCCCGCUGUUCUGACGGUACCCAAAGAAUAAGCACCGGCUAACUUCGUG